ensembl:snRNA U2 U2 spliceosomal RNA
AUCCCUUCUAGGUCUUCUGGUUAAGAUCAAGUGUAGGAUCUGUUUUAUCAGUUUAGUAUCUGCUACAUCGUUUAUCCCAGGACAAUAUAUGAAGUGGAUUUUUGGAGCAGGGAGAUGGUUGAAAAUAAUACACCAUGCUUAACGUUGACCAUUUGCUCCUGCUAAUCAGAUGUUCUGCAUAAA